GACGUAGGGCGCGAGCGUUGUCCGGAUUUAUUGGGCGUAAAGAGCUCGUAGGCGGCUUGUCGCGUCGACUGUGAAAUCCCGCGGCUCAACCGCGGGUCUGCAGUCGAUACGGGCAGGCUAGAGUUCGGUAGGGGAGACUGGAAUUCCUGGUGUAGCGGUGAAAUGCGCAGAUAUCAGGAGGAACACCGGUGGCGAAGGCGGAUCUCUGGGCCAUUACUGACGCUGAGGAGCGAAAGCGUGGGGAGCGAACAGG
rnacentral:rRNA from 1 species